rnacentral:lncRNA from 10 species
GAACCCGGGAGGCGGAGCUUGCAGUGAGCCGAGAUUGCGCCACUGCACACUCCAGCCUGGGCGACAGAGAGACUCCGUCUCAAAAAGAAAAAAAAAGAAAAAAAAAGAGAAAUGGUCUUGCUCUGUCACCCAGGCUGGAAUGCAGUGGCACAAUCAUAGCUCACUUCGUACUUGAUCCUGGGCUCAAGGGAUCCUCCUGCCUCAGCCUACCAAGUACCUGGAAUUACAGGCAUGAGCCACUCUGCCUAUUUUUUUUUUUUUUUUUGAGAUGGAGUCCACGCCCGGCUAAUUUUUGUGUAUUUUUUUUUAGUAGAGACGGGGGUUCACCGUGUUAGCCAGGAUGGUCUCGAUCUCCUGACCUUGUGAUUCGCCCGCCUUGGCCUCCCAAAGUGCUGGGAUUACAGGCGUGAGCCACUGCGCCCGGCCUUUUUUCUCUCUCUCUCUCUUUUUUUUUUUUUGGGACGUAGUUUCCCUCUUGUUGCCCAGGCUGGAGUACAAUGGCGCGCGAUCUUGGCUCACCGCCACCUCUGCCUCCUGGGUUGAAGCGAUUCUCCUCUCUCGGCUUCCUGAGUAGCUUGGAUUACAGGCAUGCACCACCAUGCCCAGCUAAUUUUAUAUUUUUAGUAGAGACGGGGUUUCUCCAUGUUGGUCAGGCUGGUCUCGAACUUCCGACCUCAGGUGAUCCGCCCGCCUCGGCCUCCCAAAGUGCUGGGAUUACAGGCAUGAGCCACUGCGCCCGGCCUGCCUGACUCCUUUAAAGCAUUUUUUAUAUGCAUCAACUCAUUAAUCUCCAUAUGAACCUAAUACUGUAGAUGCAAUUAUUACCCCAUUCUAUUUUAUUUUAUUUAUUUUAUUUUAUUUUAUUUUAGACAGGGUCUUGCUCUGUCACCCUGGUGGGGCGCAGUGGUGCAAUCAUGGUUCACUGCAGCCUCAAGCUCCCUGGCUCAAGUGUUCCUCUCACCUCCGCCUCCCAAGUAGCUGGGACCAUAGGUGGGUGCCACCAUGCCUGGCUAAAUUUUUUUUUUUUUUUAGAGAGACACAAAGUCUCACUAUGUUGCCCAGGCUUAUUACCCCAUUUUAAGAUAAGGAAACUGGGGUCUGAGAGGUUAAGUAACUUGCCUAGGGUCACAUGGCUUGUAAGUGGUAGAACCAGGAUUUCAACUCAAGUUGUUGGACUCCUGAGCCCAAGAUCUUAUUUUGUUUGCCUGCAACUACACUUGCACCAUGGGACUGGCCCCCUGGGCUGGCUGAUUGGAUCUGCAGAACUCUCCAUUUCCUAACUCCAGUCCUUUGCAUGGGGUAGCACAGGGGCUUCCUAAGAGCUCAGUGAGCAGCGAACAUGUGAUCCUGGCAUCUGAGGACCCACAGAGACCACAUGCCAGAGAAAAGAUGAAGUGCUUAAGCUUCCGGAAGGCCAACAGCUCAGCAGCCCUUGGCUGUAUGUAUUUCAAUGUGCUGGAGUGCAGUGUUGGGAUCUCAGCUACUGCAACCUCCGUGAUUCAACUUCCCGGGUUCAAACGAUCCUCCCUCCUCAGCCUCCCGCGUAGCUGGGACUACAAGCGUGCGCCACCGCCCGGCUAAUUUUUAGUAGAGAAGAGGUCACCAUGUUGGCCAGGCUAGUCUGGAGCUCCUAACCUCAGAUGAUCUGCCUGCCUCGGCCUCCCAAAGUGCUGGGAUUACAGGCGUGAGUCACCGUGCCCUGCCUCUCUUUGUUGUU